GAGAGGAGAAAAUUGUUGAUUAAACCUUCCUGAUUCUCCCAAUCUCAUCAAUGAGAGGAAGGGGGAUGUGAGAAUCCAGGAGUGUGUCUCUAGGAAAAUGAUCCACGUGGAAACCCUUUAUUCAGCCUAGUUUCACUUCCACAGCUGCCUGAGCAAUCCUGUUAAACACAAGUCAGGUGGAGUCAAUCCUCUGCUCAAAAGCCCCUAGUGGCAUAUCACUUCAUUUAGGGCAAAAAGCAAAGCUUUGAGAAUGGCCUAUCCACAUGGCUCACCCCCUCACCUCCUCCCAGCCUUGUUCAAAUCUUUGCUUCCUUGAUCACUCUGCUAAAAACAGACACUCCUCUUAUCCACUUCCUGUCCUACUCUUUUUUCCCCAACCAAUUUCCUUUUAACGUAGUAUGUAGUUGACUUUGUUGCCCUUCUUGCUCUCUCUUUCCCCUAUUAGAAUAAAUUAUGGAAAGGCGAGGAUUUUCAUCUAUACUCUUUACUGUGGCUUCCCAGAUGACUCAGUGGUAAAGAAUC